UGGGGAAUAUUGCACAAUGGGCGCAAGCCUGAUGCAGCGACGCCGCGUGGGGGAUGACGGCCUUCGGGUUGUAAACUCCUUUCGCUAGGGACGAAGCUUUUUGUGACGGUACCUAGAUAAGAAGCACCGGCUAACUACGUGCCAGCAGCCGCGGUAAUACGUAGGGUGCGAGCGUUGUCCGGAAUUACUGGGCGUAAAUGGCUCGUAGGUGGUUUGUCGCGUCGUCUGUGAAAUUCCGGGGCUUAACUCCGGGCGUGCAGGCGAUACGGGCAUAACUUGAGUACUGUAGGGGUAACUGGAAUUCCUGGUGUAGCGGUGAAAUGCGCAGAUAUCAGGAGGAACACCGAUGGCGAAGGCAGGUUACUGGGCAGUUACUGACGCUGAGGAGCGAAAGCAUGGGUAGCGAACAGG
rnacentral:rRNA from 1 species